UUUUGCAUAUGCAUAAGCCUGUCGGCCAAUGGCGUCGCUGUGCUGGCUGCCGGAGAAGCUGGGCGGUUGGGCAGCGGACACGUGGUGCGCCUGCGCACAGCGCUGCCCCACGUCGGGGCGGGCUCCGUUUUGCCCGGCCAGGUGCAGAGCCGGAGAGCCACCGGAGUCCCCUGAUCCUAGGUCCCGAGUUUGGGGUCCGGGGCGGGCGGGAAGGCGGGAGCGCGAGCGGGACAGCGGCUACCUAGUGCCCGGUUUGCAGGGCAGGGUUAAGGAGUACUGAGGCCGUGCAGUUUGACAGAAGACCUUUUUUGAAUCUUGCGAUCUGAAUUGAUUCCAGUGGAUUAAAAGGCAUCCCAAGGGAGAGACCUUGGGGACCAAGGAAGAAGCCUAGAGGUUCAUUACCAAGAAUCCCCCCUGGCCUGACUCCCGGGUGACGUCUCGUGCGGAAUAUGUUACAGGUUCCCGGUGUCAAAGCGACUGGAGGGGUCCCUCAAACAAAAUCACUAUGAUCACCGGGCAGCUGAAAAGGCCCCCCGUUUCCCGACGCAUGCUAGACUGCAAAAUGGGUGUCUGCACAUGGACCAAAACGCUGCGCUGCGCCUUGCCAUGAAGGCCGUGCCAUUUUUCACCCAUGGCAAACACCAGAAGAGCUUUAUAAGGGGAAAUUAUCCAAUUUUGUAAUUUUAGUAGUCAGUAGGGGACACUGAUGAAAAAAUAGUAAAGAGCGAAAUCCAUCACAGUGUAAGCAACAUUCCAGCAUAUGUAGACUUUUACAGCUAACUUCUCUAGGAAGCCAACCCCAGUGGGGCUUUGAUUCACUCGAGUGCUGGUUUCGGCCCACCCUGAGCCUAAGUCUUGCAGCCAGAAGCGGCUAGACCAGGGAUGUGGAGGGGAUCACAUUAGACCAAUGAGGAGGAAACUUCACGUGAGAGUCUUUAAGAUUAGCAGCCAUCCUGGGGACUUAGGUGGCUGUCCUAACUCCCAAAAGACAACUCUAUAUAAGAAUAGGAAUAAAGAGGGGCACCUGGGUGGGUCAGUUGGUUAAGCGUCUGACCCUUGGUUUUGGCCAAGGUCAUGAUCUCACAGCUUGUGAGUUUGAACCCCGAUUUCUCUCUCCCUCUCUACCCCUCCUGUCUCUCUCUUGCUCUCUUUCUCUUUCUCUCUCACAAGAUAAACAUUAAAAAUUAAAAAAAAAAAAAAAAAAGAAUAGGAAUAAAGAGAGGGCAUCGAGUUUCUGGGUCUUAUCACCAUUCCGGCCAGGGGACUAACUUCCAGCUUCCUCCUCCCUGUAGAGCAGCCAUUGGCUAGAGGAUUGCAGCCUGAGCAAUUGACACGAAAGUGUCCCAAUAAGAAGGAGUGAAUGACUACAUACUUUUUAAUUACUGAGGGUUAUGGACAGUGCAGUCUCUAAGGAAUUUGGAAGCAAGGCUUUCAGGACCUUGAGGGGCUAGCUGCUGUUAAGAUAAGGUUACUUUUAGCCUGUAAUAAGACACAAACAUUAAGGCACUAAUGCAGCCAUGAAUUCCUCGAGGAAGGUCACCUUUGGCAUGUUUCAGGUGUCUGUCAGUGGGCAGCAAGCUGUAAGGAGAUUUUAAUUUAAGCCACAUUUCUCUUGCCUUUGUUUCCCUCAUCAGCAUAGGGUUAGUUUUUCUUGGUAGUUGUCUUAUUCAUUUAAAAUAUAAUUGUUUUUCAUUA